CAAACACCAUGAUCUUCCACCCGAUGACACUUCCUUGUGUCUAGGAACUAAGAUGGUGGAGAUAUUAAGGGUAGAGGUUAAGGUUCUCUCUCUAAACUAUAAGGAGAAAAUGGCAAGACAUGGAAACCCUAACCCCUAAAGGGGUAUUUAUAGGCUUCCCAUUGGGCUUAAGUGAAUUAAGUCCACCAUAGGCUUGGGUCACUUAAUCUAGCUUUGGACCCAUAUUUUUC
rnacentral:lncRNA from 1 species